CGGAGUAUGGCGCAGCCUGGUAGCGCACUUCACUGGGGGUGAAGGGGUCGCAGGUUCAAAUCCUGCUACUCCGACCA
rnacentral:tRNA from 2 species